AGCCCCGUGGCAAAGGCAGAGAGACACCAUGUUGGUGGUGGUGUUCUUACAUCAGUCAGGGGCAGAGCAGAUGGCAGUCCUCUGUUCAUCCUUGCUUGAUGCCUGGCUUGGUGGCCAAAGCCAUUUUAUGUCUAGUACACAUAA